CUUAUGCACAUGCAUUCAUACAUUUGGUCAUGCACCUUGAAGCACUAUAACUAACAUUUAACCAUGGCUACUCAAAUAAUAAUGGAUUGAUCCCAUCCACUCAUUUAUUGCAUUAAAUCUCAAUCAAGCAAUAUACCCUAACAAUGGGAAUUCCUCUUUGAUCUUUGAUUGAAGUAGGGAGGUCUGGCUCAAAUCAUGUCAUCGGUGCAUGGUGUGCAAUGGUCAAUGGUGGGUGAUCGGAUGAGAUCAGAGCAUAUAUGUCCUGCUUUAUCCAAUCAUGGGUUUGGGUUGUAUCCUUUGCGUGAAAGAAUGAUCACGACAUCAACCUUCAAAUAAUGAUCUGCAUAUAUCUCAAAGCACUUUAAACUCCAUCCAUCUGUCUGGGCAAAUUUCAAGGUGGUCAUUUUGCGAUCCAAUGAUAGAUUCACACAAAGAAAGUUGAGUCCUUCUUUCAUGUGAAAAACACAAACCCUGCCCUACAUGAGUUGUAUGUAUGUAUGUAUGUACGUACGUAUAUACUAUAAGAGUUGUUGCAUAUGUGGGCUUCAUUUAUUUGACACUCCAACGGUGUCCCCUCAAAGAUCCAGAACUGCAAUGCAAGCCACAAUAAGCUCCAAGUAACAUUGAUCCAUAGGAGCAUGGGUAGAGCAGUGGGCCAAGAAUUGAAAACUACCCCCGUGAGUGGUGGCUCCACCACCAUUGGCACUUCUUAUUGUAGUGCAUGAUGGCGGCCUAUGCCUAAAUCGGGCCUCCUGCUCACCAAGGUGGAGCCACAACAAUGAUGUGGAUGCCAAGGGAUCUUUCCCCGGUGCCGUCCACUUGGCGUGUACGAAGUCUUUUGGUCAUUACCACGCUGUUUGGAGACAUAAUAUUAGCUUUUUUUGUAUUCUUGUGUAAAUGCAUCCAAAAAAAUUAAAAAUAAAAUAUUCCAAAGUGGCCUCGGGAUCUCCCUCAUUUCAGUCCAAAAUGACAACUCAUAGUGCUCCACAAUAAAAGCAGUCACCUAAUCAAUUGCCAUAUUUGCCUUCCAAAAGAUGUGUUUGAUGAUAAGAUCCGCACAGCCGUUCAAUAAAAUCGAUAUGUCUUAUGAAAGGGGGAUGGACUGUAUUACCCCACAUACACUCCUAAAUCCAAAUCAUAAUCGUGAUCAAGUCAUCCUCAAUGAUCAAAUGAUCGGCACGUAAGAUUCGAUGUGUAUAAACGAUCCUAGCUCACGUGGCUCGAAACUCCAUAGCAAGAAUCGAGAGCUCAAAGAGAUGACUACCCCC
rnacentral:lncRNA from 1 species